CCCUGUGUCUCCUUACCGCUAUAAAAGAGCAAAAGCUCAGAUUCCAGCAGACAUUUCAGAGCAGCCAGACAGGACUGAAACUGCAUCACAAAACCUCAGAUCCAAGAUGAAGGCCUGGUUCGUUCUGUUCCUGCUGCUGCCUCUCUGCAUGGCGGAUCAUUACAUUGAGUGCUAUGGUGAAGACUUCCUGAUGGUGAGGAACAUGGUUCUGCAGUGCAGGAGUAAAGUUCCUCAGGCCUGCUACACCAGAGCAACUGGAGAGAAAGGCUGCGUCAGCGAGGUAUUCUGUCAAAGGAAAGGCUGGACAUGUUGUUAUGAAAACCGGUGCAACGCUUGAUCCUCAUGGAGUCUGCUGACCACCAGCUUCACUUAUGCCUCAGUCAUCUUUGUUUUCAUUUUAUACUCUCUGACAUCAAUAUGAUUUUAUAUUGUGACACCAAUGACUUCAAAUUAAAAAAAUAAUUAAAAAUAAAUAAAAAUUCAGUAACCA